rnacentral:rRNA from 1 species
CUACGGGUUGCAGCAGUCGAGGAUCAUUUGCAAUGGGCGAAAGCCUGACAAUGCGACGCCGUGUGAGAGAAGAAGGCCUUCGGGUUGUAAAUCUCUUUCGCUUGGGAACAAGACUUAUUGACUAACAGUGGGUAAGUUUGAGUGUACUAGGUAAAGAAGCACUGGCUAACUCCGUGCCAGCAGCUGCGGUAAUGCGGAGGGUGCAAGCAUUAAUCGGAUUUAUUGGGCGUAAAGGGCGCUAAGGCGGUUUUAGAAGUCAGAUGUGAAAUUCCGUGACUCAAUCACGGAGCUGCAUUUGAAACUUUAAAGCUAGAGUAUAGAUGGGGAAAAUGGAAUUCCACGUGUAGCGGUGAAAUGCGUAGAUAUGUGGAAGAACACCGGAGGAGAAGUCGAUUUUCUAGUCUAUAACUGACGCUGAGGCGCGAAAGCAAGGGGAGCAAACAGGAUUAGAUACCCGGGUAGUC